GGUAAGGUCCCCUUCGGGGGACACACGAGUGGCGAACGGGUGAGUAACACGUGGGCAACCUGCCCCUCACAUCGGGAUAACCACCGGAAACGGUGGCUAAUACCGGAUACUCCGGCGAGAUCGCAUGGUCUUGCCGGGAAAGCUCCGGCGGUGAGGGAUGGGCCCGCGGCCCAUUAGCUUGUUGGUGGGGUAAUGGCCUACCAAGGCGACGAUGGGUAGCCGAGCUGAGAGGCUGAUCGGCCACACUGGGACUGAGACACGGCCCAGACUCCUACGGGAGGCAGCAGUGGGGAAUCUUGCGCAAUGGGCGAAAGCCUGACGCAGCAACGCCGCGUGCGGGAUGAAGGCCUUCGGGUUGUAAACCGCUUUCAGCAGGGAUGAAACUGACAGUACCUGCAGAAGAAGCCCCGGCUAACUACGUGCCAGCAGCCGCGGUAAUACGUAGGGGGCGAGCGUUAUCCGGAUUCAUUGGGCGUAAAGCGCGCGUAGGCGGCUUGCUAAGUCAGAUGUGAAAACCGGGGGCUCAACCCGCGGCCUGCAUCUGAAACUGGCAGGCUUGAGUCUGGUAGAGGAAAGUGGAAUUCCUGGUGUAGCGGUGAUAUGCGCAGAUAUCAGGAGGAACACCAGUGGCGAAGGCGGCUUUCUGGGCCACGACUGACGCUGAGGCGCGAAAGCUAGGGGAGCAAACAGGAUUAGAUACCCUGGUAGUCCUAGCUGUAAACGAUGGGCACUAGGUGUGGGGGGUCAUCGACUCCCUCCGUGCCGCAGCUAACGCAUUAAGUGCCCCGCCUGGGGAGUACGGCCGCAAGGCUAAAACU
rnacentral:rRNA from 1 species